GACGAACGCUGGCGGCGUGCUUAACACAUGCAAGUCGAACGGAAAGGCCCUGCUUUUGUGGGGUGCUCGAGUGGCGAACGGGUGAGUAACACGUGAGUAACCUGCCCUUGACUUUGGGAUAACUUCAGGAAACUGGGGCUAAUACCGGAUAGGAGCUCCUGCUGCAUGGUGGGGGUUGGAAAGUUUCGGCGGUUGGGGAUGGACUCGCGGCUUAUCAGCUUGUUGGUGGGGUAGUGGCUUACCAAGGCUUUGACGGGUAGCCGGCCUGAGAGGGUGACCGGCCACAUUGGGACUGAGAUGCGGCCCAGACUCCUACGGGAGGCAGCAGUGGGGAAUAUUGCACAAUGGGCGGAAGCCUGAUGCAGCAACGCCGCGUGCGGGAUGACGGCAUUCGGGUUGUAAACCGCUUUCGCCUGUGACGAAGCGUGAGUGACGGUAAUGGGUAAAGAAGCACCGGCUAACUACGUG
rnacentral:rRNA from 1 species